AUUGAACGCUGGCGGCAGGCCUAACACAUGCAAGUCGAGCGAGCGGCGGAAGGGUGAGUAAUGUCUGGGAAACUGCAUGAUGGAGGGGGAUAACUACUGGAAACGGUAGCUAAUACCGCAUACCAUCAGAUGUGCCAAGAUGGGAUUAGCUAGUGGGUGGGGGAACGGCUCACCUAGGCGACGAUCCCUAGCUGGUCUGAGAGGAUGACCAGCCACACUGGAACUGAGACACGGUCCAGCCUCCUACGGGAGGCAGCAGUGGGGAAUAUUUCACAAUGGGCGCAAGCCUGAUGCAGCCAUGCCGCGUGUGUGAAGAAGGCCUUCGGGUUGUAAAGCACUUUCAGCUGGGAGGCGUUACCCGCAGAAGAAGCCCCGGCUAACUCCGUGCCAGCAGCCGCGGUAAUAC
rnacentral:rRNA from 1 species